CGAGGGUGGCGCCUGGGAUGUCCCAGGGCGAGAGUCUGCGAGCUGCCAGGAGGUGGAUUGUCACGUGUGUUGAGCCUAAAUUCAGCAUAGAUCAGCCAGAGGCAGUCAAGAUAGAAAGCUGGAUGUGGAUGAGAGCAAGAACAGACUGAGAAACUAUGGGGACAAACUGGAAUUCUUGAACAACUGUGAUCUCCAAAGACAGACUGUUCCUGCCUGUGUUUGUCACUACUUCCAACUGUGAUGAUGCAGAUGUAGUGCAGGAGAAGCUGGUACCUUUCCUGAAGCUACACAUGCACUUGGCUUAGGACUUGGAGAAGCUGAAGAUCUGGUGGAAGCUGGAGUCUGGGUACUGCCUCAGGCCAGCAAGGAGAGCCAGCAGAUCAGUCACGAUGUGUUAGUUACCAUCAUGCCUAGAGUCCUUCAGAACAGGAAAAUCAUGGCCAUUGCUUUGCUGCUGCCUUAUAGAGCUCACACAACAUUUUUCUCAUGGCCAAAUGCUAACCUGAAACCAUACAGGAUCCUGGAAAACAGAUCCUGCUAAGCUAAGCUGACAUAAUACAAAGUCACCACACUGCCCCACAGGUCUAGGCAUCAAGUCUGCUGAAUAUGCUUCAGUCCAGAAAUAAUGUUAUAGAAAUGUACUUCCCCAGGGAGACAUAAUCUGAAAAGUACAAAAAUGUUACAUGUAUCCAGAGAAAGCAGAAAUAAUGUUCAUCAUUGCAUGAAUUUAGAACUAAACGUCCUUCCAUUGAGGACUGGUUUAAUAAAUUUUGGUACACCUAUACAACACAAUCUACUGUUGUGAGAAAGGAUGAUGUGUAUCUAUAUUUAUUUAUAAAGAUCUCUGCUGCUAAUUGAGUAAAAAGCUUGUAGUUAUUCCAUUCAUAUAAAAUUAUAUGCAUAUGUAUUUGCACAGAGCAGCAUUUAGAAGGAUGUUCAGCAAAAUAUUAAUGGUAGUAUCUCUGAGUAGUACUUUAUUCCUUAUGCCUGUUUUGAUGGAUUUUUCUAUAAGUACACAUUAGCUUUAUAUCAGGAAAUACAACAAAGCUGCUUUUUAUUUAGAAAAAAAUUAAUCAUUGGAGGUGUCCUUCCUAUGUGGUGGAAAGUAGAGGUUUAAAUGUUAAUGUCUUCCAUUCUCUUCCAGUUCUGUUCCUUAGUGAGUGGGAAAAUCUUGUCAGUUUCUUGAGACUGAUCAAGAAGAUGGGAAACACUAUCCUUACAGUUUUCACAAGGCUUUUGCAACUGUCCUUCUUACUGAAGAUUGGAAAUCAUUACACAUUAUGCACCAUUUUUAUGAGAUGGUGACUGCCCCCCUUGAAAUGACUUCUUUGACAUUUGACUCUUGGUAUCUAUUAGUUAGUGCCAUUGCCUAAUCCAAUUCUGACCCUACCAUCACCAGGAAGUCAUAAAGUUGGAAACAAAAAGUCAACCAAAGGGUCAAAAACAAAAACAAAAAAGCAGUCAAUAGAAAUUAACUUUGAGAUUUGUUUAAAAAAUUAAGGGAAAUUUAAGUGGGCAGGUAGAGAAUCUUAGCAGAGAAACUGGAGCUAUAAAAAGAACUAAAUGGAAAUUCUAGAACUAAAACUCACAGUAGCUUGUGUUUGGCAGAAUAGUGUGAACCUGAAGACUAAUUGCAUCUGAUCACCUUGCAUGUCAUCAUGACUUUUGUGCUCCUGGGAAAUAUUCUCACUCUUUCCACACUAAAUGAGACUUAGAGAACUCUUGUCUUCUGCUGCUUGCCCUGAUUCUACCCAAGAAAGGACACAUGGAUUUCCUAUGCUCUCAGAUCCCCCAAACAUUUCUUAGAUUUGGGGGUACAGAGCAAGCUUGUCUAGGAAACCCCUGUGUUAACAUCUAAGCUCGCCUGGUUCUCUUGGACUCCACCUUCCCUCACAGCCUGUGGAGCUAGUUGGAGGAUAAGUGGUGAAACUUUGCUCUUCCUCAUCUCCUCUGAUCUGGGUCUCAUCUUUCAAAAAUUGUAAGCUAAGAACUGACACUGGUGUUCUGCUACGUUGUCCUUUCUCUGAGGCAGUCAGCAUGGAAUGCCUUAGCUGCUGCUAAAACCAGGGAAAGGUCUUGGAGUAUCAGGAAAUACUGGACAAAAAAUACCUAAGUUAGUAUGUCAAAUUAGUACCUGGCUAUAUUUGCAUUCAUGUAGGCAUGUGUGUGUUUUGGUAGGACUUAUUACAUCCUCACGGGAUUGUUUGAGAAACAACUUGAUAAAGUCUUUGCAAAGUCCUGAGUCAAUAAAAAAGCGCUUUGCAAAUGGAUGUGAGAGUACAACAGUUCACUUGUCUUCAGACAGGAAAUAUCGUAAAGGUAAAUCCACAAUGCUCUUAUUAAUACAAGGGAUUAGACCAAAUGAGUCACUCCAGUAAGUUAGGAAGGUAAGUAACCUAUGAUUUUAAUUUCCUUUUUAAGAUUGACAUGAUGAAUAUUCAUGAAUAUAAUCAUGAAUAUUUUCUUUUCCUAGCAAUGUGUGUUUAAGGAUAGAAACAACUGUAAGGUAGAAAAGGACAUGCAACACAAAAUGAGGCUAUGGUUAUUCAACUUACUUGUAUAAAGUAGCAACUCAUUAUAGAAAUUUUGGAAAAAAUCGAAGGAAAAAGACACCCAUGAGUGUAUCCAUCAAAAAGGGCCUCUCAACAUUUUCAUGUGUUUCUUUCAAUUUUUCUUCUAUGCACAUCUUUUUUCCCCCAUAGCUGUGUAUUUAAUGUACUUUUUUUAUAUUGCUUUUUAAGAAACUUAAAUGUGUAAUAAAUGGUUUAUACUGCAAUAUGUAUUAAAGGCCUUAAAAAUGUGCAUGUACUGAGACUCAGAAAUUGCACUUCCAGACAGCUAUAGUUCACUUAUUCACUCAACAGCAAUUUAUUAAGGCAUAUAUUAAUGAGGUAGCACAGUAUAGUUUUAAGAGCAGGAGUUCUAAAGUCAGAUUGCACUGAACUCAAAUUUUAGUUCUGUCCUCAGGCAAGUUACCUUACCUCUAUGUGCCUCAAUUUUCUCAUCUCUAAUAUAGGCAUAACAACAGUACUUGGACCUAUAAAAUUUGCUGUUGAACUCAGGACCUGACCCAUAGGAAGCACUCAGCAGGUUGUCAGGUAUUUUAUCACUGAGCCAGGUCUUGAGUAAUGCUCAUAUGGUCCCUGCUCUAAUGAAGUUCAUAAUCAGAUGAUAAUAAUAAAACUACAAUUUAUUAAGUGCUUACUAUGUUCCCUAAACUGUUAAAGGCUUCAUACACAUUACAUCAUUACUUUUUAUAGCAACUCUAUAGGAAGGGUGAGCAUGAUAUCCUCAUUUUACAGAUGAGUAAUAUGAGGCUGAAAGGAUAAAUGCUCAAAGUUGUAAGUAUAAAGAAGUUUCUUUCAUUAUUAUUUGUAUGUUAGCCUAAGAACUAACCUAAGUGUCAAGUAAAGGAAGUUCUAUAAAUACAUUAGGUGUACGUGUUCAAUGGAAUAUCAUGCAUUCAUUGAAAUGGAUAGAUGCUACAGUGUUGAAUGAAGUAAGUCAUGGAACACUAUGUAUGAUGUGAUUUAAUUACUGUAAAAAUAAACACUUAAACACUGA